UACGGCGACCAUUUUCCCGCAAUGCUCGCAAGCUCCUAUAGCUUCCCUUCUUCCCCCGUACCUCUCACCAGCGGUGUCUUCGGUAUGUGAAAACCCAAUUCUUCAACCCUACAGGAUCCAACAGGCAAUCACAGCUGGCAUCUUACCUUUAUCACCCUUGUUCCUCCAACAAUCAUCAGCCCUAUUACAUCAGUUACCUUUGGUGCAUUUAUUGGCACAAAACAUCAGGGCACAACAACUACAACAACUUGUGCUAGCAAACCUUGCUGCCUACUCUCAGCAACAGCAGUUUCUUCCAUUCAACCAACUAGCUGCAUUGAACUCUGCUUCUUAUUUGCAACAACAACAACUACCAUUCAGCCAGCUACCUGCUGCCUACCCCCAGCAAUUUCUUCCAUUCAACCAACUGGCAGCAUUGAACUCUCCUGCUUAUUUACAGCAGCAACAACUACUACCAUUCAGCCAGCUAGCUGGUGUGAGCCCUGCUACCUUCUUGAUACAACCACAGUUGUUGCCGUUCUACCAGCACGCUGCGCCUAACGCUGGCACCCUCUUACAACUGCAACAAUUGCUGCCAUUCAACCAACUUGCUUUGACAAACCCAGCAGCGUUCUACCAACAACCCAUCAUUGGUGGUGCCCUCUUUUAGAUUUCUUAUGAGUUAUAGUUCAAUAAUAAAGUUUUUUGUCUGAUGUUUGUGGCUUCCCAGAAAUAAGAAAGUACAUUUCUAGAUUCUUAUGUGCUUCUAGUCUCCAAAUGUGGUUGAUAGUUAUUUUGCUCUAAGAUCGACAGUAAUGAAGUAUAAAUCAUCGUUGUGGUGUGCUACUCGGUUAAUUGAGCAUUAACACACACAAACAUGACGAGGAUGGUAUAAUCUCCAAAAAUAUGUACUUUGUUAGGUGGGACCCUAUAGCCUUGCAUAAUGUGCUAUGUUAGGCAUGCCUGGAAACGUGUGACGCAUAUGUUUUGUGAACCUGUUGAUAUUAUAUGUGCUUUUAUAUUACCAUAUUUUAUUAAAAUACUAAUAUUUAUUACUAGUAAGAUAUAACAUUCUAUCUAGCUUAAAAACUAACCAUAAAUAUUCCAUAAUAACUAGAUUUACCAAACUAAUAUACUAAAUAUACAUAAUAAAUACAAAAUUAACAAGACAAUAAUCAAUAUUUAUGAGCUUAAUAUAUUUAGACAUUAUGGUUGGUCGACCAUAAUCAUGCUAACUUUUCGUACUUGCUUGAUUGUAAAUAUGCUUAGAAUAAUGCCUCUUUGUUCUACAUGGCAAAUAGGGACCAUUAUGGUGUAACACCCUGGGAACCACAAACACCCCGAAAUGCUACUAAACUACACAACUAACCUUCAUAUAUAAAAUUUCGACAGCAUCUCCUUUGAAAAUUUGCAUAAACGUGGAAGCAACAGAGUAUAAACAGAUAUCAUGAUAAGGAAACAUACUAGACAUUAAUAAUCUGCUAGAAAUGGGAAGAUAACCAUAACGACAUAAACUGAAUUAACUAGUGUGCACAACUUGUUUAAAACAAACAUCAUUGACAAGAAGUUUCUAAUUAAAUCAUGGCUGUGCCUGGGUAGCGUUAUUAUGAGAGUGAAGGUGGACGUGAUGCUACUUCCCUCAUUCCCAACAUGAAUCAAGUACCUGCAUUGAGUAAUGCAAGAGUGAGAUGAAAACAUCUCAGCAAGUAAAUUGUUUUGACGAGAUAUUUAAAGCAAAAAAAUUUGAUUUACUCAACAUUUUAAAGGGAUCACAAUUGAGAUCAGAAAUACUUGUAGAUAUAGAACUCAAUAGUCCCAAAAUAACCAGUGCCAUCUCAUUUCCUCAAACAACCACAAUAGGUUGUAUAACACUUCCCUGCGUCAUCAAUACCUGCAAAUAUCACUUCAAUGUAUGCAUAGGAAUGCAAUGUUUAAGUCCUCUGCAUUCAUACUUCUUAGAGUAUAAAACCACACCAUCUGCAAAUAUCACUUCAAUGAAUGCAUAUGAAUGCAAUGCAUAUGUCCUCUGCCUUCAUACCUCUAAGGGUAUGAAGCCGAAUCGUACCCCUCCUCGGGCAACGUACGAUGCUAAGUUGUACCGUUACGGUCGGACCAUAGGUCACGACAAAACUUCAUAUGCAAGUGAAUCAUGACAUGUAUAUGGCUUGCUGCAUUUAUCAAUAUACUUCACUUCCUUCAUAUACAAUACAAACCUCAAAUAAUACUUCGUUUACCUUCAGAUACAAUACAAACCUCAAAUAAUACUUCAUUCACCUUCAGGGGUGUUUAUUAAUCUCGUGGGUCAUACUCGAAUCAUCAUCAUCAUCAAUGAUGAUUAAGCAUCAGUAUAAUACAAUCAAGUAAAGCAUCACCAUAGAGUUCAAUUAUGAAAGAAUUCGAUGAUUCUGAAUAUUAGAGUGUAUGCGAUGAAACAACAACGUCAAAACGGUAGCAACCACCGCUACAUUCACUUGCCUUCAUCGAAGAAGAAAAACAUACUAGGCAUGAUUCAGAGUGUAGACACCUGCUGUGGGGCUUAAAACUUAGUACAAAUAUUCCACAAACAUUUGCCAACAAUUAACAAAUCGCUCCUACACUUGAAACCAAGACCCGGUGGAAUGACUCCCACCCUGAACCACAUGCCAAACAAUAGUAGUGUUGUUUGUUAAUUUUGUAUCUUUAAAAUUAUAACAGUGGUGAUAUCAAACAAAUACUCCAGAAGUUUCUACACAAAAUACUCUACAACUUUGGUAUUCAAUGGAUAAUUAAAUUUUGCCAUCUAUAAGUUCUAAAACAUCUGAUAAGAUAACUGACUGAAUUUGUUUCAGACAACAGCAUAGUUAACUUCAAAAUUCGAUAUCUCCCAAACUCCUCAACCAAAAAUUAUGAAAUUAUUCUGACAGUAAGAACUUUUUUCCCUCUACAAAAGUAUCUAUAGUUGGAAGAGCCAAUUCGGCCAUUUACUAGAUGAAACCUACCAGUUAACAGACCCGCUCAUUUUUGUCAGGCAAACAAGAACCCUUAUAUAUCAAAGAGUAGUGGAUUUGAAUUUGUCUAAUAUGAAGUUUAUGGGCUUGGAUCAUUUAAAGUAUUUUAUAAUUCUGAAAGACAAGAUUAAACUAACUAUGUAUGAUCCUUUAGCACUGUACAGAUGGUCGAUGGGACAGUUACAUGGUUUAUAUAGAUGGACCUAUCUAUAUUCCUUCAGUGGUUGAGAAAAAGGUAAAGGUGUGUCACACUCACGUGUGCGCCGCCUCUACCGAGAUGAGGCAUGGCGUUGCAAGGUGAGGCAUGGCAUGGUGCAGCACGAUCGUAUACAUGGUCGUGGCACAGUGUAGCACUGUUGUGGAUAGAUAGAUAAACUUUUGUUGUAGUUAGAGUGCAUGAGUUUUUGAAUGCAACACAAGAAUUUUCACAAUUUAACUUAAUUAAGAAGUUAUAUCUUGAUGACACAGAGUUACCUGACCAUUGAUCUCACAUGCCCUUUUAGCUCUCUCGUUCUCUAGACUCACCCUGACUAUUUAGGUCUCCUGACUCGCCAAUAUAAACACCAUCCUAUCAUUUGCUCUCGAAUACUUCUGUGUCACAACUCAACUGUCAGAUGAGUACUCCAUUACAGCACUGAGCAGGCCUCCGAAAUGAAUAUCUACUCAGAUGAAGGACGACAAUCGUGUUCUAGGGAAAUAUCGGUGACACAACUCCUUACUUCCUCCGCUUCUUCCUAGUGUUUUUUGUUGUGAUUGAGUCGACACAGCAACAACACUGCACUAUUACAACCAGUACGACUAUAUUAACUAGCAAUGUCUUCCUUAUAUGUUACUAUUUAUUUUGCUCAUAUUCAUUAUGUUUAAAUCACAUAGGCACCUUUUUGUUGGCAUCAAAAAAUUAGUAUCAACUUUCUAGAUUAAAGUGAAACUAAAAGUACCUAAAUUUCUAUCGGUGGGGAUCGAGUGAUUCUUUAAACCAAUUAUUACGCAAGUUAACCACACUAAAAUUAACAUUGGUGAACCGUGCCAUGAUUUUUUCUAAUGGAAAAUAGCCAAACCAAGCAACACAUAUGUGGCUAUCGUUACACAUGUGUAAAGGUAUUGCAUCACACCAUUGUCACCCAUGUAUUUGGACAAUACCGAGAGGAAAAACCACUUAUUUAUUGUAUUUUAUCAAGUUUGUCUUGCUUACGUAUAAAUUAUAACCCAACAAAGUAAUCACUAAAUGUCAAAACCAACUAGAUACCAUGUCAUCUCUACCUUAUCUUACUAAUAUUCUUUUUGCAAAAUCCAAAAUUAAUCUUGCACAAGCACAAGGACUGAGAUGUGUAUAAAUAUCUCUUAAAUUAGUAGCUAAUAUAUCACACAUAUUAUUGAGACCAACUAGCAACAUAGAAAGCACAAUAGUGUACCAACAAUGGCAGCUAAAAUAUUUUGCCUCCUUAUGCUCCUUGGUCUUUCUGCAAGUGCUGCUACGGCGACCAUUUUCCCACAAUGCUCACAAGCUCCUAUAGCUUCCCUUCUUCCCCCGUACCUCUCACCAACGGUGUCUUCGGUAUGUGAAAACCCAAUUCUUCAACCCUACAGGAUCCAACAGGCAAUCGCAGCUGGCAUCUUACCUUUAUCACCCUUGUUCCUCCAACAAUCAUCAGCCCUAUUACAGCAGUUACCUUUGGUGCAUUUAUUGGCACAAAACAUCAGGGCACAACAACUACAACAACUUGUGCUAGCAAACCUUGCUGCCUACUCUCAGCAACAGCAGUUUCUUCCAUUCAACCAACUAGCUGCAUUGAACUCUGCUUCUUAUUUGCAACAACAACAACUACCAUUCAGCCAGCUAUCUGCUGCCUACCCCCAGCAAUUUCUUCCAUUCAACCAACUGACAGCAUUGAACUCUCCUGCUUAUUUACAGCAGCAACAACUACUACCAUUCAGCCAGCUAGCUGGUGUGAGCCCUGCUACCUUCUUGACACAACCACAGUUGUUGCCGUUCUACCAGCACGCUGCGCCUAACGCUGGCACCCUCUUACAACUGCAACAAUUGCUGCCAUUCAACCAACUUGCUUUGACAAACCCAGCAGCAUUCUACCAACAACCCAUCAUUGGUGGUGCCCUCUUUUAGAUUUCUUAUGAGUUAUAGUUCAAUAAUAAAGUUUUUUGUCUGAUGUUUGUGGCUUCCCAGAAAUAAGAAAGUACAUUUCUAGAUUCUUAUGUGCUUCUAGUCUCCAAAUGUGGUUGAUAGUUAUUUUGCUCUAAGAUCAACAGUAAUGAAGUAUAAAUCAUCGUUGUGGUGUGCUACUCGGUUAAUUGAGCAUUAACACACACAAACAUGACGAGGAUGGUAUAAUCUCCAAAAAUGUGUACUUUGUUAGGUGGGACCCUAUAGCCUUGAUUAAUGUGCUAUGUUAGGCAUGCCUGGAAACGUGUGACGCAUAUGUUUUGUGAACCUGUUGAUAUUAUAUGUGCUUUUAUAUUACCAUAUUUUAUUAAAAUACUAAUAUUUAUUACUAGUAAGAUAUAACAUUCUAUCUAGCUUAAAAACUAACCAUAAAUAUUCCAUAAUAACUAGAUUUACCAAACUAAUAUACUAAAUAUACAUAAUAAAUACAAAAUUAACAAGACAAUAAUCAAUAUUUAUGAGCUUAAUAUAUUUAGACAUUAUGGUUGGUCGACGAUAAUCAUGCUAACUUUUCGUAAUUGCUUGAUUGUAAAUAUGCUUAGAAUAAUGCCUCUUUGUUCUACAUGGCAAAUAGGGACCAUUAUGGUGUAACACCCUGGGAACCACAAACACCCCGAAAUGCUACUAAACUACACAACUAACCUUCAUAUAUAAAAUUUCGACAGCAUCUCCUUUGAAAAUUUGCAUAGACGUGGAAGCAACAGAGUAUAAACAGAUAUCAUGAUAAGAAAACAUACUAGACAUUAAUAAUCUGCUAGAAAUGGGAAGAUAACCAUAACGACAUAAACUGAAUUAACUAGUGUGCACAACUUGUUAAAAACAAACAUCGUUGACAAGAAGUUUCUAAUUAAAUCAUGGUUGUGCCUGGGCAGCGUUAUUAUGAGAGUGAAGGUGGACGUGAUGCUACUUCCCUCAUUCCCAACAUGAAUCAAGUACCUGCAUUGAGCAAUGCAAGAGUGAGAUGAAAACAUCUCAGCAAGUAAAUUGUUUUGACGAGAUAUUUAAACCAAAAAAAUUUGAUUUACUCAACAUUUUAAAGGGAUCACAAUUGAGAUCAGAAAUACUUGUAGAUAUAGAACUCAAUAGUCCCAAAAUAACCAGUGCCAUCUCAUUUCCUCAAACAACCACAAUAGGUUGUAUAACACUUCCCUGCGUCAUCAAUACCUGCAAAUAUCACUUCAAUGUAUGCAUAGGAAUGCAAUGUUUAAGUCCUCUGCAUUCAUACUUCUUAGAGUAUAAAACCACACCAUCUGCAAAUAUCACUUCAAUGAAUGCAUAUGAAUGCAAUGCAUAUGUCCUCUGCCUUCAUACCUCUAAGGGUAUGAAGCCGAAUCGUACCCCUCCUCGGGCAACGUACGAUGCUAAGUUGUACCGGUACGGUCGGACCAUAGGUCACGACAAAACUUCAUAUGCAAGUGAAUCAUGACAUGUAUAUGGCUUGCUGCAUUUAUCAAUAUACUUCACUUCCUUCAUAUACAAUACAAACCUCAAAUAAUACUUCGUUUACCUUCAGAUACAAUACAAACCUCAAAUAAUACUUCAUUCACCUUCAGGGGUGUUUAUUAAUCUCGUGGGUCAUACUCGAAUCAUCAUCAUCAUCAAUGAUGAUUAAGCAUCAGUAUAAUACAAUCAAGUAAAGCAUCACCAUAGAGUUCAAUUAUGAAAGAAUUCGAUGAUUCUGAAUAUUAGAGUGUAUGCGAUGAAACAACAACGUCAAAACGGUAGCAACCACCGCUACAUUCAUUUGCCUUCAUCGAAGAAGAAAAAUGUACUAGGCAUGAUUCAGAGUGUAGACACCUGCUGUGGGGCUUAAAACUUAGUACAAAUAUUCCACAAACAUUUGCCAACAAUUAACAAAUCGCUCCUACACUUGAAACCAAGACCCGGUGGAAUGACUCCCACCCUGAACCACAUGCCAAACAAUAGUAGUGCUGUUUGUUAAUUUUGUAUCUUUAAAAUUAUAACAGUGGUGAUAUCAAACAAAUACUCUAGAAGUUUCUACACAAAAUACUCUACAACUUCGGUAUUCAAUGGAUAAUUAAAUUUUGCCAUCUAUAAGUUCUAAAACAUCUGAUAAGAUAACUGACUGAAUUUGUUUCAGACAGCAGCAUAGUUAACUUCAAAAUUCGAUAUCUCCCAAACUCCUCAACCAAAAAUUAUGAAAUUAUGCUGACAGUAAGAACUUUUUGUCCCUCUACAAAAGUAUCUAUAGUUGGAAGAGCCAAUUCGGCCAUUUACUAGAUGAAACCUACCAGUUAACAGACCCGCUCAUUUUUGUCAGGCAAACAAGAACCCUUAUAUAUCAAAGAGUAGUGGAUUUGAAUUUGUCUAAUAUGAAGUUUAUGGGCUUGGAUCAUUUAAAGUAUUUUAUAAUUCUGAAAGACAAGAUUAAACUAACUAUGUAUGAUCCUUUAGCACCGUACAGAUGGUCGAUGGGACAGUUACAUGGUUUAUAUAGAUGGACCUAUCUAUAUUCCUUCAGUGGUUGAGAAAAAGGUAAAGGUGUGUCACACUCACGUGUGCGCCGCCUCUGCCGAGAUGAGGCAUGGCGUUGCAAGGUGAGGCAUGGCAUGGUGCAGCACGAUCGCAGUCAUGGUCGUGGCACAGUGUAGCACUGUUGUGGAUAGAUAGAUAAACUAUUGUUGUAGUUAGAGUGCAUGAGUUUUUGAAUGCAACACUAGGAUUUUCACAAUUUAACUUAAUUAAGAAGUUAUAUCUUGAUGACACAGAGUUACCUGACCAUUGAUCUCACAUGCCCUUUUAGCUCUCUUGUUCUCUAGACUCACCCUGACUAUUGAGGUCUCUUGACUCGCCAAUAUAAACACCAUCCUAUCAUUUGCUCUCGAAUACUUUUGUGUCACAACUCAACUGUCAGAUGAGUACUCCAUUACAGCACUGAGCAGGCCUCCGAAAUGAAUAUCUACUCAGAUGAAGGACGACAAUCGUGUUCUAGGGAAAUAUCAGUGACACAACUCCUUACUUCCUCUGCUUCUUCCUAGUGUUUUUUGUUGUGAUUGAGUCGACACAGCAACAACACUGCACUAUUACAACCAGUACGACUAUAUUAACUAGCAAUGUCUUCCUUAUAUGUUACUAUUUAUUUUGCUCAUAUUCAUUAUGUUUAAAUCACAUAGGCACCUUUUUGUUGGCAUCAAAAAAUUAGUAUCAACUUUCUAGAUUAAAGUGAAACUAAAAGUACCUAAAUUUCUAUCGGUGGGGAUCGAGUGAUUCUUUAAACCGAUUAUUACACAAGUGAACCACACUAAAAUUAACAUUGGUGAAUCGUGCCAUGAUUUUUUCUAGUGGAAAAUAGCCAAACCAAGCAACACAUAUGUGGCUAUCGUUACACAUGUGUAAAGGUAUUGCAUCACACCAUUGUCACCCAUGUAUUUGGACAAUACCGAGAGGAAAAACCACUUAUUUAUUGUAUUUUAUCAAGUUUGUCUUGCUUACGUAUAAAUUAUAACCCAACAAAGUAAUCACUAAAUGUCAAAACCAACUAGAUACCAUGUCAUCUCUACCUUAUCUUACUAAUAUUCUUUUUGCAAAAUCCAAAAUUAAUCUUGCACAAGCACAAGGACUGAGAUGUGUAUAAAUAUCUCUUAAAUUAGUAGCUAAUAUAUCACACAUAUUAUUGAGACCAACUAGCAACAUAGAAAGCACAAUAGUGUACCAACAAUGGCAGCCAAAAUAUUUUGCCUCCUUAUGCUCCUUGGUCUUUCUGCAAGUGCUGCUACGGCGACCAUUUUCCCACAAUGCUCACAAGCUCCUAUAGCUUCCCUUCUUCCCCCGUACCUCUCACCAGCGGUGUCUUCGGUAUGUGAAAACCCAAUUCUUCAACCCUAUAGGAUCCAACAGGCAAUCGCAGCUGGCAUCUUACCUUUAUCACCCUUGUUCCUCCAACAAUCAUCAGCCCUAUUACAGCAGUUACCUUUGGUGCAUUUAUUGGCACAAAACAUCAGGGCACAACAACUACAACAACUUGUGCUAGCAAACCUUGCUGCCUACUCUCAGCAACAACAGUUUCUUCCAUUCAACCAACUAGCUGCAUUGAACUCUGCUUCUUAUUUGCAACAACAACAACUACCAUUCAGCCAGCUAUCUGCUGCCUACCCCCAGCAAUUUCUUCCAUUCAACCAACUGACAGCUUUGAACUCUCCUGCUUAUUUACAGCAGCAACAACUACUACCAUUCAGCCAGCUAGCUGGUGUGAGCCCUGCUACCUUCUUGACACAACCACAAUUGUUGCCGUUCUACCAGCACGCUGCGCCUAACGCUGGCACCCUCUUACAACUGCAACAAUUGCUGCCAUUCAACCAACUUGCUUUGACAAACCCAACAGCAUUCUACCAACAACCCAUCAUUGGUGGUGCCCUCUUUUAGAUUUCUUAUGAGUUAUAGUUCAAUAAUAAAGUUUUUUGUCUGAUGUUUGUGGCUUCCCAGAAAUAAGAAAGUACAUUUCUAGAUUCUUAUGUGCUUCUAGUCUCCAAAUGUGGUUGAUAGUUAUUUUGCUCUAAGAUUAGCAGUAAUGAAGUAUAAAUCAUCGUUGUGGUGUGCUACUCGGUUAAUUGAGCAUUAACACACACAAACAUGACGAGGAUGGUAUAAUCUCCAAAAAUGUGUACUUUGUUAGGUGGGACCCUAUAGCCUUGCAGAAUGUGCUACGUUAGGCAUGCCAAUGGAAACGUGUGACACAUACGUUUUGUGAAUCUGUUGAUAUUAUAUGUGCUUUUAUAUUACCAUAUUUUAUUAAAAUACUAAUAUUUAUUACUAGUAAGAUAUAACAUUCUAUCUAGCUUAAAAACUAACCAUAAAUAUUCCAUAAUAACUAGAUUUACCAAACUAAUAUACUAAAUAUACAUAAUAAAUAUAAAAUUAACAAGACAAUAAUUAAUAUUUAUGAGCUUAAUUUAUUUAGACAUUAUGGUUGGUCGACGAUAAUCAUGCUAACUUUCCGUAAUUGCUUGAUUGUAAAUAUGCUUAGAAUAAUGCCUCUUUGUUCUACAUGGCAAAUAGGGACCAUUAUGGUGUAACACCCCGGGAUCCACAAACACCCCGAAAUGCUACUAAACUACACAACUAACCUUCAUAUAUAAAAUUUCGACAGCAUCUCCUUUGAAAAUUUGCAUAAACGUGGAAGCAACAGAGUAUAAACAGAUAUCAUGAUAAGGAAACAUACUAGACAUUAAUAAUCUGCUAGAAAUGGGAAGAUAACCAUAACGACAUAAACUGAAUUAACUAGUGUGCACAACUUGUUAAAAACAAACAUCGUUGACAAGAAGUUUCUAAUUAAAUCAUGGUUGUGCCUGGGCAGCGUUAUUAUGAGAGUGAAGGUGGACGUGAUGCUACUUCCCUCAUUCCCAACAUGAAUCAAGUACCUGCAUUGAGUAAUGCAAGAGUGAGAUGAAAACAUCUCAGCAAGUAAAUUGUUUUGACGAGAUAUUUAAACCAAAAAAAUUGAUUUAAUCAACAUUUUAAAGGGAUCACAAUUGAGAUCAGAAAUACUUGUAGAUAUAGAACUCAAUAGUCCCAAAAUAACCAAUGCCAUCUCAUUUCCUCAAACAACCACAAUAGGUUGUAUAACACUUCCCUGCGUCAUCAAUACCUGCAAAUAUCACUUCAAUGUAUGCAUAGGAAUGCAAUGUUUAAGUCCUCUGCAUUCAUACUUCUUAGAGUAUAAAACCACACCAUCUGCAAAUAUCACUUCAAUGAAUGCAUAUGAAUGCAAUGCAUAUGUCCUCUGCCUUCAUACCUCUAAGGGUAUGAAGCCGCAUCGUACCCCUCCUCGGGCAACGUACGAUGCUAAGUUGUACCGGUACGGUCGGACCAUAGGUCACGACAAAACUUCAGAUGCAAGUGAAUCAUGACAUGUAUAUGGCAUGCUGCAUUUAUCAAUAUACUUCACUUCCUUCAUAUACAAUACAAACCUAAAAUAAUACUUCGUUUACCUUCAGAUACAAUACAAACCUCAAAUAAUACUUCAUUCACCUUCAGGGGUGUUUAUUAAUCUCGUGGGUCAUACUCAAAUCAUCAUCAUCAUCAAUGAUGUUUAAGCAUCAGUAUAAUACAAUCAAGUAAAGCAUCACCAUAGAGUUCAAUUAUGAAAGAAUUCGAUGAUUCUGAAUAUUAGAGUGUAUGCGAUGAAACAACAAAGUCAAAACGGUAGCAACCACCUCUACAUUCACUUGCCUUCAUCGAAGAAGAAAAAGGUACUAGGCAUGAUUCGGAGUGUAGACACCUGCUGUGGGGCUUAAAACUUAGUACAAAUAUUCCAUAAACAUUUGCCAACAAUUAACAAAUCGCUCCUACACUUGAAACCAAGACCCGGUGGAAUGACUCCCACCCUGAACCACAUGCCAAACAACAAUAGUGUUGUUUGUUAAUUUCUAUCUUUAAAAUUAUAACAGUGGUGAUAUCAAACAAAUACUCUAUACGUUUCUACACAAAAUACUCUACAACUUCGGUAUUCAAUGGAUAAUUAAAUUUUGCCAUCUAUAAGUUCUAAAACAUCUGACAAGAUAACUGACUGAAUCUGUUUCAGACAACAGCAUAGUUAACUUCAAAAUUCGAUAUCUCCCUAACUCCUCAACAAAAAAUUAUGAAAUUAUGCUGACAGUAAGAACUUUUAUCCCUCUACAAAAGUCUCCAUAGUUGAAAGAGCCAAUUCGGCCAUUUACUAGAUGAAACCUACCAGUUAACGGACCCGCUCAUUUUUGUCAAGCAAACAAGAACCCUUAUAUAUCAAAGAGUAGUGGAUUUGAAUUUGUCUAAUAUGAAGUUUACGGGCUUGGCUCAUUUAAAGUAUUUAAUAAUUCUGAAAGACAAGAUUAAACUAACUAUGUAUGAUCCUUUAGCACCGUACAGAUGGUCGAUGGGACAGUUACAUGGUUUAUAUAGAUGGACCUAUCUAUAUUCCUUCAGUGGUUGAGAAAAAAGUAAAGGUGUGUCACACUCACGUGUGCGCCGCCUCCGCCGAGACGAGGCAUGGCGUUGCAAGGUGAGGCAUGGCAUGGUGUAGCACGAUAGCAGUCAUGGUCGUGGCACAGUGUAGCACUGUUGUGGAUAGAUAGGUAAACUAUUGUUGUAGUUAGAGUGCAUGAGUUUUUGAAUGCAACACUAGAAUUUUCACAAUUUAACUUAAUUAAGAAGUUAUAUCUUGAUGACACAGAGUUACCUGACCAUUGAUCUCACAUGCCCUUUUAGCUCUCUCGUUCUCUAGACUCACCCUGACUAUUUAAGUCUCUUGACUCGCCAAUAUAAACACCAUCCUAUCAUUUGCUCUAGAAUACUUCUGUGUCACAACUCAACUGUCAGAUGAGUACUCCAUUACAGCACUUACGUACACGAGUUCUAUGAGAGCAGGCCUCCAAAAUGAAUAUCUACUUAGAUGAAGGACGACAAUCGUGUUCUAGGGAAAUAUCAGCGACACAACUCCUUACUUCCUUCGCUUCUUCCUAGUGUUUUUUGUUGUGAUUGAGUCGACACAGCAACAACACUGCACUAUUACAACCAGUACGACUAUAUCAACUAGCAAUGUCUUCCUUAUAUGUUACUAUUUAUUUUGCACAUAUUCAUUAUGUUUAAAUCACAUAGGCACCUUUCUAUUGGCAUCAAAAAAUUAGUAUCAACUUUCUAGAUUAAAAUGAAACUAAAAGUACAUAAAUUUCUAUCGGUGGGGAUCGAGUGAUUCUUUAAACCGAUUAUUACACAAGUUAACCACACUAAAAUUAACAUUGGUGAAUCGUGCCAUGAUUUUUUUUCUAGUGGAAAAUAGCCAAACCAAGCAACACAUAUGUGGCUAUCGUUACACAUGUGUAAAGGUAUUGCAUCACACUAUUGUCACCCAUGUAUUUGGACAAUACCGAGAGGAAAAACCACUUAUUUAUUGUAUUUUAUCAAGUUUGUCUUGCUUACGUAUAAAAUUAUAACCCAACAAAGUAAUCACUAAACGUCAAAACCAACUAGAUAUCAUGUCAUCUCUACCUUAUCUUACUAAUAUUCUUUUUGCAAAAUCCAAAAUUAAUCUUGCACAAGCACAAGGACUGAGAUGUGUAUAAAUAUCUCUUAAAUUAGUAGCUAAUAUAUCGCACAUAUUAUUUAGACCAACUAGCAACAUAGAAAGCACAAUAGUGUACCAACAAUGGCAGCCAAAAUAUUUUGCCUCCUUAUGCUCCUUGGUAUUUCUGCAAGUGCUGCUACGGCGACCAUUUUCCCGCAAUGCUCACAAGCUCCUAUAGCUUCCCUUCUUCCCCCGUACCUCUCACCAGCGGUGUCUUCGGUAUGUGAAAACCCAAUUCUUCAACCCUACAGGAUCCAACAGGCAAUCGCAGCUGGCAUCUUACCUUUAUCACCCUUGUUCCUCCAACAAUCAUCAGCCCUAUUACAGCAGUUACCUUUGGUGCAUUUAUUGGCACAAAACAUCAGGGCACAACAACUACAACAACUUGUGCUAGCAAACCUUGCUGCCUACUCUCAGCAACAGCAGUUUCUUCCAUUCAACCAACUAGCUGCAUUGAACUCUGCUUCUUAUUUGCAACAACAACAACUACCAUUCAGCCAGCUACCUGUUGCCUACCCCCAGCAAUUUCUUCCAUUCAACCAACUGGCAGCAUUGAACUCUCCUGCUUAUUUACAGCAGCAACAACUACUACCAUUCAGCCAGCUAGCUGGUGUGAGCCCUGCUACCUUCUUGACACAACCACAGUUGUUGCCGUUCUACCAGCACGCUGCGCCUAACGCUGGCACCCUCUUACAACUGCAACAAUUGCUGCCAUUCAACCAACUUGCUUUGACAAACCUAGCAGUGUUCUACCAACAACCCAUCAUUGGUGGUGCCCUCUUUUAGAUUUCUUAUGAGUUAUAGUUCAAUAAUAAAGUUUUUUGUCUGAUGUUUGUGGCUUCCCAGAAAUAAGAAAGUACAUUUCUAGAUUCUUAUGUGCUUCUAGUCUCCAAAUGUGGUUGAUAGUUAUUUUGCUCUAAGAUCAGCAGUACAACAACAACAACAACAACAACAACAACAACAACAAAGCCUUUUUGUCCCAAGCACGUUGGGGUAGGCUAGAGAUGAAACCCCGUAUGAAAACCUCAGAGCUCAACCCCCAAAGAACAGAAAAGGGAAACAAAGGCAAAGGAGAACCGAAAACAACGAAACGGGGAAACACAUAAAAGAGAUAAAACCCACAAGGACCAGCAAGAUCUAAAAUGGACACAAGAAAAGGUCAAACGAUUAAGGAGGAAAAGCGAAACUAUCAAUCAGGGUUCUGGCACGUGAAUUGCACACUUCCACCCCUUCCUAUCUGCGGCGAGCUCUUUGUCAAUAUUCCACUCCUUCAGGUCUCUCUUCACAGCCUCUGUCCACGUCAAAGUUGGUCGACCUCUACCUCUCUUCACAUUUUCGGGACGCCUAAUUAUUCCGAUAUGCACUGGUGCCUCUUCAGGUCUUCGUUGGAUAUGUCCAAACCAUCUCAAGCGAUGUUGCAUAAGCUUCUCCUCAAUUGGCGCCACUCCUACUCUCUCUCGUAUAUCAUCAUUCCGGACUCGAUCUCUCCUUGUGUGGCCACAUAUCCAGCGCAACAUACGCAUCUCUGCCACACUUAGUUGUUGGACAUGUCGUCUUUUAGUGGGCCAACAUUCUGCUCCAUACAACAUAGCCGGCCGGAUUGCUGUCCUGUAGAAUUUGCCUUUUAGUUUGCGUGGCACCCGGUGGUCGCAUAAGACACCCGCAGCUUGUCGCCACUUCAACCAUCCGGCUUUAAUUCUAUGACUGACAUCCUCAUCGAUGUCUCCCUCCUUUUGAAGCAUUGAUCCUAAGUAACGAAAAGUGUCUUUCUUGGGUACCACUUGCCCAUCAAGACUAACAUCGCCAUCCUCAUACCCCAUGGCACUGAAAUCACACUUCAUAUACUCUGUUUUAGACCUACUAAGCCUAAAACCUUUUGCUUCCAGCGUCUGCCUCCACAAUUCCAACUUUUGAGAAACACCACUCCUACUCUCCUCAAUAAGUACCACAUCAUCGGCAAAAAGCAUACACCACGGUAAAACUCCUUGUAUGUCCCUUGUGACCUCAUCUAUCACCAAAGCGAAAAGAUAAGGGCUCAAAGCCGACCCUUGAUGUAGUCCUAUGUUAAUUGGAAAGUCAUCGGUGUCUCCAUCACUUGUUCGGACACUUGUCACAACAUUAGUGUACAUAUCUUUAAUAAGAUUAAUGUACUUUGUUGCUACUUUGUGUUUUUCCAAGGCCCACCACAUUACACUCCUAGGUACUUUGUCAUAAGCCUUCUCCAAGUCUAUGAAGACCAUAUGCAGGUCUUUCUUUUGUUCUCUGAAUCUCUCCAUAAGUUGUCUUAGUAAGAAAAUGGCCUCCAUAGUUGAUCUCCCGGGCAUGAAACCAAACUGAUUUUGGGUCACGCUCGUCAUCUUUCGCAGGCGGUGUUCAAUGACUCUCUCCCAUAGCUUCAUUGUAUGGCUCAUGAGCUUAAUUCCACGGUAAUUAGUACAACUUUGAACAUCUCCUUUGUUCUUGAAGAUUGGUACUAAUGUACUCCGCCGCCACUCGUCGGGCAUUCUGUUUGCCCGAAAGAUGGUGUUGAAAAGCUUAGUCAGCCAUACUAUCGCUAUGUCUCCAAGACAUCUCCAUACCUCGAUAGGGAUACCAUCAGGGCCCAUCGCCUUUCCUACCUUCAUCCUUUUUAGCGCCUCCUUAACUUCAUAUUCUUGUAUCCUUCGUACAAAACCCCUGUUGUUGUCAUCGAAUGGUUCGUCCAAUUCUAUUGUAGCACUCUCAUUCCCUCCAUUGAACAAUUUGUUGAAGUACUCCUUCCAUCUGUUCUUGAUCUCUUCACUCUUCACUAAUAGUUGGUUUGCUUCGUCCUUGAUGCAUUUGACUUGGUUGACAUCCCUUGUCUUCCUUUCACGAAUCUUGGCCAUCCUAUAGAUAUCCUUUUCUCCCUGCUUUGUGUCCAGCCGUUGAUAAAGGUCGUCAUAGGCUUGACCCCGGGCUCUACUAACCGCUCGCUUUGCAGACUUCUUCGCUAUCCUGUACUUCUCUAUGUUUUCUGCACACUUGUCAUGAUGUAAGCGUUUGUAGCAAUCUUUCUUCUCCUUGAUAGCCUUUUGGACAUCUUCGUUCCACCACCAAGUGUCUUUAACUUCCCUUCUGUUCCCUUGACUCAACCCAAACUCUUCUGAAGCUAUCUUUCGGAUGCAUGUCGCCAUCUUCCUCCACAUGAUAUUUGCGUCUUCCUCUCCUGCCCAAGGGCCCUCCUCGAUAACUCUCUUCUUGAAAGUUUGGGCCACAUCCCCUUUAAGCUUCCACCACUUUGUUCUAGUGACCUUGUUAUGCUUAUUUCGUUGUAAACGAAUCUUAAAACGGAAGUCAGCAACGACAAGCUUAUGUUGGGUUACCACACACUCUCCAGGUAUAACCUUGCAAUCUAAGCAGGCAUGCCUGUCCUCUUUUCUCAAGAGGACGAAAUCAAUCUGGCUAGUGUGUUGGCCACUACUGAAGGUCACCAGGUGGGAUUGCCUCUUCUUAAAGAAAGUGUUUGCUAUAAACAUGUCAUAGGCUAGGGCAAAGUUCAGGAUUUCCUCUCCUUCUUGAUUCCUAGUCCCAAAGCCGAAGCCUCCAUGUACACCCUCGAAACUGGUGCUAGAUGUACCCACAUGGCCAUUGAGAUCUCCUCCUAUGAAGAGCUUCUCGCCAACUGGCACACUACUAACCAUGUCCUCUAGGCCUUCCCAGAACUCUCUCUUUGAGUUCUCAUUAAGGCCUACUUGAGGAGCAUACGCGCUGAUAACAUUGAGAACCAAGUCUCCAAUGACCAGCUUGACUAGGAUGAUUCUAUCUCCUACCCUCUUAACAUCUACUACCCCAUCUUUGAGGCUCUUGUCGAUCAAGACGCCUACUCCAUUCUUGUUUGUUGCAGUCCCCGUGUACCACAACUUGAAACCUGUACCUUUCACUUCCUUCGCCUUCUGUCCCUUCCACUUGGUCUCUUGAACGCAUAAAAUAUUUACCCGUCUCCUCACCGCAACGUCAACUAUUUCUCGUAACUUACCUGUUAAGGAACCUACGUUCCAACUGCCUACACGGACCCUAGUUGGCUCGACUAGCUUCCUUACCCUUCGCACCCGCCGAGGAAGAUGCAAAGACCCUUGCUCAUUUUUCACUACACCCGGGCGCCGAUGUAGCGCGCCACUAAGGAUGCGACGACCCGAUCCUUGCUCACUUAUCACCGGCUCCAGAUCAAGAGACAGCGCGUCACUUGAGGGGUGACGACCCGGCCCUUGCUCAUUUAACACCAUACCCGGGUUCCGAUAUGGCGCGUCGCUAAGAGGGUUACGCCCCAACGGUUUUCUUUGUGGUUUCAUCUCCAUAAGAUUUGGCUGGUUUUUUACGUUGGUUUGCCGGACCUAACACAACCCUCCUCCUUUACCGGGCUUGGGACCGGCUAUGUUGAAACGACUCAAGGAAGUCUUCCAAUCAACAUAGGCGGAGUUUAAGAUCAGCAGUAAUGAAGUAUAAAUCAUCGUUGUGGUGUGCUACUCGGUUAAUUGAGCAUUAACACACACAAACAUGACGAGGAUGGUAUAAUCUCCCAAAAUGUGUACUUUGUUAGGUGGGACCCUAUAGCCUUGCAGAAUGUGCUACGUUAGGCAUGCCGAUGGAAACGUGUGACGCAUACGUUUUGUGAACCUGUUGAUAUUAUAUGUGCUUUUAUAUUACCAUAUUUUAUUAAAACACUAAUAUUUAUUACUAGUAAGAUAUAACAUUCUAUCUAGCUUAAAAACUAACCAUAAAUAUUCCAUAAUAACUAGAUUUACCAAACUAAUAUACUAAAUAUACAUAAUAAAUACAAAAUUAACAAGACAAUAAUCAAUAUUUAUGAGCUUAAUAUAUUUAGACAUUAUGGUUGGUCGACGAUAAUCAUGCUAACUUUCCGUAAUUGCUUGAUUGUAAAUAUGCUUAGACUAAUGCCUCUUUGUUCUACAUGGCAAAUAGGGACCACUCUAGGAGACUAGGAUGUUGCUUGAGAUGAAAAUGUCAGAAUUGGUGUAGACUAAUUUCUAUCGGCCGCUGACUUCACUAUUGUAACCAUUAUAUCUUGGGUAAAUUAUAUACGAUUAUCCAGCCAAAGGGCCCAGAUGAUAAAAAACAAUUUUUAAUUGCUAUUUUAGGACAAAUGAAUUAGCAUGGUUCGAAGGAUUACGACCUUCCCCCCAUGACCUUUGUCAUACUGCUUUAGUCUAAUCGACAAAACCAAGAUUAGUUAUCAUCGAAGAAGUUCAUAAGCGAAGUUGUGACGAUGAAAGGAACAUGGUGGUAAUUGGACGAACGACGACACCUUUGUCUAAGAAUGGCAUCUAGAAGAAAUCUCAGACAAAAUAAGACAUGAAUGGCUUGUCAGUACAGCGCAAAUACUGAAACAUGCGCCCUUGAAUAUGAAACAUUUAUAUGUAAGAGGAAGGGAUAAAAAAACUAAUUACUCGUGCCUAAUGAUUUUAUUGGGAAUUUUAAGGCGAGACUUAUGGCAAAGGGUUAUACCAAAAAUAGGGGAGAGAUUAUUUCGAUACUUAUUCACUUGUUUCCCUUCAAAUGGCCAUACAUGUGUUACUUUUUUUGGCUGCCUCGCAUGGUCUUAUCGUUCAUCAGAUGAAUGUUAAGACUGCUUUCCCAAAUGGAGAGCUUAAGGAACAGAUCUACAUUGACUAGCCUAGUGGUUUUAUAUCAAAUGGUAAAGAGGAAAAGGUGUUUAAAAUAAUUGUUUGGUUUAAAACAAGCACCAAAGCACAUGAGAAAAUCGAUAAAGUUCUGACUUUGGCUAAAUUUGUUGUAAAUGAAGUUGAUAAAUGUGUCCAUUACCAGUUUGACAGGGGCGAAGGUAUGACCUUUUUAUAUGUGGACAAAAUAUUAACCUUUUGUAACGAUGUUAAUAUGAUAGAAGAAGUAAAGUAAUUUUUGUCUAGUAACUUAGAAAUAAACAAUCUGGGAGAGGCUAAUGUUGUUCUUAACAAAGAGAUGUUGAGAGAAGGAGGAAAUAGAGGGUUACUCUUGUGCAAUCCUAUUAGGUUGAAAAGUCGCUGAGUCGCUUUGGAUAUAGUGAUUACACGUCUGGUCCAACAACUUAUGACCCAAGUGUGUUAUUAAGGAAAAAUCAUAUAAUUGCAUAUGAUCAAUUGAGAUAUUGUCAAAUCAUGGUCUUCUCAUAUAUUUGGCAAGCCCAACGAUGUCUCAUAUCUGAUUUGUUAUGAGCAAACUCAGUUGCCUUGUCUCCAAUCUAGGGGAGGAUCAUGACAUGCCCUAGAGAGGGUAUUGCGCUUUCUCAAAGGGAUAUGAGUAAUGUCAUUUACUAUACUAGGCACCUAAGAGUACCAGAGUGUUAUAGUCAUGCAAAUAGGAUAUCUGAUGUUGAUUAGAUUUAUGCCACAAGUAGACUUGUGUGCUUCCUUGGAGGUGUGAUUGUUUCAUGGAAGUCUUGUAAGUAGACCAUCUUAACAAGGUCAACAAUAGAAGUAGAACUCACAACAUUAUAUACUACCAAAGUUGAAGUUGAUUGGCUCCGUGAACUCCUUACGGAUUUACCAGUAGUUGAAAAACCAAUACUGGUUAUCUCUAUGAGCUACAAUAAUCAAACAUUUGUAAUCGAAGUAAACAGUUCUAAAGUUAACAUGAUGUCUACAAAGCAUGUAAAAAUGGUUGAAACUGUUAAAACACUAAGAAACUCUAGAUUAAUUAUGUUGGACUAUAUCCAUACAUCGAAUUUGGUAUGCCAGUUUACAGAAGAUUUGUCACAUAAUAUGAUUCAAGGUGCAUCGAGGAAUAUGGGCUUGAGACCCACUUAAUGUCAAUCCAUAGUGGUAGCAGUUUCUAUGUGAUUGGAGAUCCCAUAAAGUAGAAUGGUGAAACAAGCUAGAGAAUGACUGAUGGAGAGACUCCUUAAAUAAAAUCUUGAUAAUUUGAGAUGCACAUUUCUCAUUUGAUGUAUUGUAGGCGAACUAAAAUCUUAAUAUGAUUUGAGUGACUUAUCUAAGCAGGGAUGUUAUCUUACAGAACAUCCUAGAAAGAACACACCUAUAUGAGUUUGCAUGUUAGUCAUAGUCUAUCAUGUGUGGUAAUCUUUAUAUACUCAUGAAAGGCUUGAAGUUUGACUUAUAUGCUUCAAACCAAGGGGGUGCUUGUAACAGUCUAGUACAAGAUAAGAACAUUGGUAAAACUCACUUAACGCAAAAUUGUCAAUUUAAGGCAUAGUUCAUUGUUUAGAUGUGAAUGUGUAAUCCCUGUUCUAGAUGGAUGGUCAACUUAACAGCCUCCACCAAAACCCUGAUAUCUCAAAGAGUAGUGGAUUUGAGUUUGUCUAAUAUGUGGUUUAGAUUUUGGUGGGGAAUUUUAAUAUUUUAUGGGCUUGGCCCAUUUAAGGUAUUUAAUACUUUCAAAAGACAAGAUUAAACAUGUGUGAAUAGUGUCAUGAUUUUUUUCUAGUGCAAAAUAGCCCAACAAAUCAACACAUAUGUGGCUAUCAUUACACAUGUGUAAAGGUAAUGCAUCACACCAUUGUCACCCAUGUAUUUAGAAAAUACCAAGAAGAAAAACAACUUGUUUAUUGUAUUUUAUGGAGAUUAUCUUGCUUACAUAUAAUUAUAACCCAACAAAGUGGUCACUAAAUGUCAAAACCAACUAGGUACCAGGUCAUCUCUAGCUUAUCUUGCUAAUGAUAUUUUUGCAAAAUCCAAAAUUAAUCUUGCACAAGCACAAGGACUGAGAUGUGUAUAAAAAUCUCUUAGAUUAGUAGGUAAUCCAUCACACAAAGCGCAAUAGUGUAGCAAAACUGGCAGUCAAAAUAUUUUGCCUCCUUAUGCUCCUUGCUCUUUCUGCAAGUGCUGCUAACGCGACCAAUUUUCUGCAAUGCUCACAAGAUCCAAUUGCUUCCCUUCUUCCCUCAUACCUCUCACCAGCGACAUCUUCAGUAUGUGAAAACCCAAUUCUUCAACCCUAUAGGAUCCAACAGGCAAUCACAGCAAGCAUCUUACCUUUAUCACCCUUGUUCCUCCAACAACCGCCAGCCCUGUUACAACAAUUACCUUUGGUGCAUUUGUUGGAACAAAGCAUCAAGGCACAACAACUACAACAACCUGUGCUGACAAACCUUGUUGCCUACUCUCAGCAACAAUAGUUUCUUCCAUUCAACCAACUGGCUGCACUGAACUCUGCUGCUUAUUUGCAACAACAACAACAACUUCCAUUCACCCAGCUAGCUGCUGCCUACCCCCAACAAUUUCUUCCAUUCGACUAACUGGCUGCAUUGAACUCUGUUGCUUAUUUACAACAGCAACAACUAAUACCAUGAAACCAGCUAGCUGUUGCGAGCCCUGCUACCUUCUUGACACAACCACAGUUGAUGUCGUUCUACCUGCAAGCUGUGGCUAACGUCGGCACCCUCUUACAACUACAACAAUUGUUGCCAUUCAUCCAACUUGCUUUGACAAACCCAAUAGUGUUCUACCAACAACCCAUCAUUGGUGGCGCCCUCUUUUAUAUUUCUUAUGGGUUAUAGUUCAAUAAUGAAGUUUUUGGCUGAUGUUUGUGGCUUCCCAGAAAUAAGAAAGUAUAUUUCUAGAUUCUUAUGUGCUACUAGUCUCCAAAUGUGGUUGAUAAUUAUGUUGCUCUAAGAACGGGAGUAAUGAGGUAUAAAUCAUUGUUGAGGUGUGAUACUCGGGUAGUUGAGCAUUAGCACGCACAAAUAUGAUGAGGACGGUAUAAUCUCCAAAAAUAUGUACUUUGUUAGGUGGGACCCUAUAGCCAUGCAGAAUGUGCUCUGUUAGACACGUCGAUGGAAACGUGUCACACAUACGUUUUGUGAACCUAUUGAUAUUGUAUGUGCUUUUAGUUGUGUGGUGCUAUAGAUAUGAGGGCUUGUUUCACGUAAUGAGCUAGGGUAGAAAAAUAAUUAUUUGCCUUGGAUUGUUAUGGAAGAACAUACCAAUUGUGACUGCCAUCUCAAUCUAGCUAACAUCUAAGUGACCUAAAAGGAGAGCAUAAGGAACUGAUCUACAAUGACUAGCCUAGUGGUUUUAUAGGAAAUGGCAAAGAGGAAAAUGUGUUUAAGUUAUUACAAUUGUAUGGUUUAAAACAAGCACCUAAGCACAUGAGAAAUUUUAUGAAGUUCUGACUUUGGCUAAAUUUGUUGUAAAUGAAGCUGAUAAAUGUGUCUAUUGCUAGUUUGAGAGGAGGGAUGGCAUGACCUGUUUUUUAUAUUUGGAUGAUAUAUUAAUCUUUUGUAAUGAUGUUAAUAUUAUCGAGGAAGUAAAAUACUCUUUGUGUGGUAACUUUGAAAUAAAUGAUUUUGGAGAGGCUAAUGUUGUUCUUAACAUAAAGAUGUUGGGAGAAGGAGGAAAUAGGGGGUAACUCUUGUGAAUCCUAUUAGGUUGAAAAGACAUUUAGUUGUUUUGGAUAUAGUAACUACACAUCUGGUCAAAUUACUUAUGACACAAGCGUGUUGUUAAGGAAAAUGAUAUAAUCGCAUAGAAUCAAAUGAGAUACUAUCAAAUCAUGGUCUUCUCGUGUAUUUGGCUAAUCCAACGAGGCCUAAUAUCUCAUUGCUAUGAUUAAACUUAGUCGAUUUGUAUACAAUGUAGGGGAUGAUCAUGGCAAGCCCUAGAGAGGGUAUUGCGCUACCUAAAAGGGACUAUGAGUAAUGUAAUUUACUAUACCAGGCACCUAAGGGUACCAGAGUGUUACAAUGAUGCAAACAAGAUAUCUGAUGGUGACGAGAUUUAUGCCACAAGUGGAUAUGUGUGCUUGCUUGGAGGUGUGAUAGUUUCAUGGAAGUCUUGUAAGUAUACCAUCUUAACAAGAUCAACAAAACAAGUAGAACUGGCAACAUAAGAUACUACCAUAGUUGAAGCUAAGUGGCUUCUUGAACUCCUUAUGGAUUUACCAGUAGUUGAAAACUAAUAGUGGUUAUCUCUAUGAUCUAUGAUAAUCAAAUAGUCGUAAUCAAAGUGAACAGUUCUAAGGAUAACAUGAAUUCUACAAAGCAUGUCAAAAAGCGAUUGAAACUAUUAGAACACUAAGAAUCUCUAGAGUAAUUGUGUUGGACUAUGUCCAUACAUCUAAGAAUUUGGUAGGUCGAUUUAGAGAAGGUUUGUCCAUAAUGUGAUAGAUGGUGCAUCGUGUAAGAUGGGCUUGAGACCCUCUUAAUGCCAUUCCUUAGUGGUAGCAUGUUCUAUGUGAUUGGAGAUCUCGUGAAGUAGAAUGGUGAAACAAGAUAGAGAAUGACUGAUGGAGAGACUCCUUAAAUAAAAUCUAGGUAAUUUGAUAUGCAUAUUUCUCCUUUGAUGUAUCGUAGGCUAACUAAAAUCUUAAUAUGAUCGGAGUGAUUUAUCUAAGCAGGGAUGUUAUCUUAUAGAACAUCCUAGAAGGAACACACCUAUAUGAGUUUGACUGCUAUUCAUAGUCUAUGAUAUUUGGGAAAUCUUUAUAUACACCUGAAAGGCCUAGAAAUGUGACUUCUAUGCUUCAAACCAAGGGGAUGCUUGUAACAAUCUAGUAUCAGAUAAGAACUUUGGUGAAACUCACUUCAUGCAAAACCGUUAAUUCAAAGCAUAGUCCAUUGUUCAGAUGUGAAUGUAUAACCCAUGUUCUAGAUGGAUGGUCAACUUAAUAGCCUCCACCAAGACCAUGAUAUAUCAAAGAGUAGUGGAUUUGAGUUUGUCCAAUAUGUGGUUUAGAUUUUGGUGGGGAAUGUUAAUAUUUUAUUGGCUUGACCCAUUUAAAGUGUUUAAUAAUUUUGAAAGACAAGAUUAAACAAACUAUGUAUGAUGCUUUAGCACCAUAUGGAUAGUUGUGACAUAUUUGUAUUCCUUGAGUGGUUGAGGAAAAGGUAAAGGCGUGUCACACUCAUGCCAGCGCCGCCUCCGCCGAGACAAGGUGUGCGUGGCGAAGUGAGGCAUGGUGUGGUGCAGCACGGUCGCAGUCAAGGUCGUGGUGCGGUGUAGCGUUGUUGUGGAUACAUAGAUUGAUAAACUGGUGUUGUGGUUAGAGCGCAAGCAUUUGUGAAAGUAACACUAGAAUUUUCACAAUUUAACAUAAUUAAGAAGUUAUAUCUUGAUGACACAAAGUUACUUGACCUAUGAUCUCACGUGCCCUUUUAACUCUCUCGUUCUCUGGUCUCACCCUGACUAUUUAGGUUUCCUAACUCGCCAAUAUAAUCACCCUCAUAUCAUUUGCUCUCAAAUCACUUCUCUGCCACUGCUCAACUAUCAGUUGAGUACUCCAUUACAACAAUUACAACACUUACGCACACGAGUUAUACGAGAGUAGGUCUCCGAAAUGAAUGACGACUAAGUGUUUAUCUACUCAGAUGAAGGACGACAAUAACAUUUUUGGGAAGUAUCAUCAGAACAACUCCUUACUUCCUUCGCUUCUUCCUAAUGUUUUUUAUUGCGAUUGAGUCAACACAACAACUAAGCUGCACUACAACAACUAGUACGACUAUAUCAACGGCAAUGUCUCUGUUAGGUUUGAGUCCUAUGAGGGCCUUAAAACUAUGUUACUAUUUAUUUUGUUCAUAUUCAUUAGGUUCAAAUCACAUGUGCACCUUUCUAUUGACAUCAAAAAAUUAGGGCCAACUUUCUAGAUUAAAAUGCAACUAAAAGUACCUAAAUUUCUAUCGGUGGGGAUCGAGUGACUCUUUAAACCGAUUAUUACACAAGUUAACCAAACUAAAAUUAACAUUGGUGAAUAGUGCCAUUAAUUUCUAGUGCAAAAUAGCCCAUCCAAGCAACACAUAUGUGGAUAUCGUUAUAUAUGUGUAAAGGUAAUGCAUCACACCAUUGUCACCCAUGUAUUUGGAAAAUACCAAGAGUCAAAACCACUUGUUUAUUGUAUUUUAUGGAGAUUGUGUUGCUUACGUAUAAAUUAUAACCCAACAAAGUGGUCACUAAAUGUCAAAACCAACUAGAUUCUAGGUCAUCUCUAGCUUAUCUUAUUAAUAUUCUUUUGGCAAAAUCUUGCACAAGUACAAGGACUAACAUGUGUAGAUAUCUCUUAAAUUAGUAGGUAAUCCAUCACAUAUAUUAUUGAGACAAACUAGCAACAUAGAAAGUGCAAUAAAGUAGCAACAAUGGCAGCCAAGAUAUGUUCCCUCCUUAUGCUCCUUGCUCUUUCUGCAAGUGGUUCUAGCGCGACCAUUUUCUUGCAAUGCUCAUAAGAUCCUAUAGCUUCCCUUCUUCCCCCAUACCUCUCACCCACAAUGGAUUCAGUAUGUGAAAACCCAAUUCUUCAACCCUACAUGAUCCAACAUGCAAUCUCAAUAACAUCUUACCUUUAUCACCCUUGUUCGUCCAACAACCGGUAGCCCUAUUACAGCAAUUAUCUUUGGUGCAUUUGUUGGCACAAAGCAUCAGGGCACAACAACUACAGC
rnacentral:lncRNA from 1 species